rnacentral:rRNA from 1 species
AUUGAACGCUGGCGGCAGGCCUAACACAUGCAAGUCGAGCGGAGCUGCGGACGGGUGAGUAAUGCCUAGGAAUCUGCCUGGUUUUUGGGGCUAACGUCCGGAAACGGGCGCUAAUACCGCAUCCUAUCAGAUGAGCCUAGGUCGAAUUAGCUAGUUGGUGAGGUAAAGGCCUACCAAGGCGACGAUCCGUAACUGGUCUGAGAGGAUGAUCAGUCACACUGGAACUGAGACACGGUCCAGACUCCUACGGGAGGCAGCAGUGGGGAAUAUUGGACAAUGGGCGAAAGCCUGAUCGAGCAAUGCCGCGUGUGUGAAGAAGGUCUUCGGAUUGUAAAGCACUGUAAGUUGGGAGGCGUUACCAAAAGAAUAAGCAACGGCUAACUUCGUGCCAGCAGCCGCGGUAAUAC